GACGAACGCUGGCGGCGUGCUUAACACAUGCAAGUCGAACGGAAAGGCCCUGCUUUUGUGGGGUUCUCGCGUGGCGAACGGGUGUGUAACACGUGAGUAACCUGCCCUUUACUUUGUGAUAACUUCAGGAAACUGGGGCUAAUACCUGAUAGGAGCUCCUGCUGCAUGGUGGGGUUUGGAACGUUUCGGCGGUUGGGGAUGGACUCGCGGCUUAUCAGCUUGUUGGUUGGGUAGUGGCUUACCAAGGCUUUGACGGCUAGCCGGCCUGAGAGGGUGACCGGCCACAUGGGGACUGAGAGACGGCCCAGACGACUACGGGAGGCAGCAGUGGGGAAUAUUGCACAAUGGGGGGAAGCCUGAUGCAGAAACGCCGCGUGCGGGAUGACGGCCUUCGGGUUGGAAACCGCUUUCGCCUGUGACGAAGCGUGAGUGACGGUAAUGGGUAAAGAAGCACCGGCUAACUACGUG
rnacentral:rRNA from 1 species